CUACGGAGGGUGCGAGCGUUAAUCGGAAUUACUGGGCGUAAAGCGUACGUAGGCGGUUGGUUAAGUUAGAUGUGAAAGCCCCGGGCUUAACCUGGGAACUGCAUUUAAAACUGGCGAGCUAGAGUUGAGUAGAGGGGAGUGGAAUUUCAGGUGUAGCGGUGAAAUGCGUAGAGAUCUGAAGGAACACCAGUGGCGAAGGCGACUCCCUGGACUCGAACUGACGCUGAGGUACGAAAGCGUGGGUAGCAAACGGGAUUAGAAACCCCAGUAGUCC
rnacentral:rRNA from 1 species